UACAGAGGUCUCAAGCGUUGUUCGGAUUCAUUGGGCGUAAAGGGUGCGUAGGCGGCGCGGUAAGUCGGGUGUGAAAUCUUGGAGCUUAACUCCGAAACUGCAUUCGAUACUGGCGAUCUAGAGUCCGGAAGAGGUGAGUGGAACUCCUAGUGUAGAGGUGGAAUUCGUAGAUAUUAGGAAGAACACCAGUGGCGAAGGCGGCUCACUGGUCCGGUACUGACGCUGAGGUGGCGAAAAGCGU
rnacentral:rRNA from 1 species